rnacentral:ncRNA from 1 species
GAUAAUACGUUGAUGAGGACAGUAAACUAAAAUCUUAUUUUCAGAGAGAGAAUAUGUUGGUGGAAUUAUUCUUAAAUAGCUUUAGUUGAAAACCACCUCUGAGUGACUUUAAUACAGUCCGUCUAUUACCACGUUACGGUAAUUUCAAGUGAUCUAAUACUCUACUUGUUUAAUUAAUAUAGGUAUAUUUUUAAAAUUAAAUAGGUGUAUUAGAUAAUUAGAGUGGAACCACGGAUAUUACUUCGUCUCUAUA